AACGAACGCUGGCGGCAUGCCUAACACAUGCAAGUCGAACGAGACCUUCGGGUCUAGUGGCGCACGGGUGCGUAACGCGUGGGAACCUGCCCUUAGGUUCGGAAUAACUCCCCGAAAGGGGUGCUAAUACCGGAUAAUGUCUUCGGACCAAAGAUUUAUCGCCUUUUGAUGGGCCCGCGUUGGAUUAGCUAGUUGGUAGGGUAAAAGCCUACCAAGGCGACGAUCCAUAGCUGGUCUGAGAGGAUGAUCAGCCACACUGGGAAUGAGACACGGCCCAGACUCCUACGGGAGGAAGCAGUGGGGAAUAUUGGAAAAUGGGAGAAAGGCUGAUCAAGCAAUGCCGCGUGAGUGAUGAAGGCCUUAGGGUUGUAAAGAUCUUUUACCCGGGAUGAUAAUGACAGUACCGGGAGAAUAAGCUCCGGCUAACUCCGUG
rnacentral:rRNA from 1 species